ACAUGCAGUCGAACGAUGAACUCCAGCUUGCUGGGGGGAUUAGUGGCGAACGGGUGAGUAACACGUGAGUAACCUGCCCUGGACUCUGGGAUAACCCCGAGAAAUCGGAGCUAAUACCGGAUAGGACCUUUCCCUGCAUGGGGUUUGGUGGAAAGUUUUUCGGUUUGGGAUGGACUCGCGGCCUAUCAGCUUGUUGGUGAGGUAAUGGCUCACCAAGGCGUCGACGGGUAGCCGGCCUGAGAGGGUGACCGGCCACACUGGGACUGAGACACGGCCCAGACUCCUACGGGAGGCAGCAGUGGGGAAUAUUGCACAAUGGGCGCAAGCCUGAUGCAGCAACGCCGCGUGCGGGAUGACGGCCUUCGGGUUGUAAACCGCUUUUAGUAAGGAAGAAGGGGAGCUUGCUCCUUGACGGUACUUGCAGAAAAAGGACCGGCUAACUACGUGCCAGCAGCCGCGGUAAUACGUAGGGUCCGAGCGUUGUCCGGAAUUAUUGGGCGUAAAGAGCUCGUAGGCGGUUUGUCGCGUCUGCUGUGAAAUCCCGAGGCUCAACCUCGGGCCUGCAGUGGGUACGGGCAGACUUGAGUGGUGUAGGGGAGACUGGAAUUCCUGGUGUAGCGGUGGAAUGCGCAGAUAUCAGGAGGAACACCGAUGGCGAAGGCAGGUCUCUGGGCACUUACUGACGCUGAGGAGCGAAAGC
rnacentral:rRNA from 1 species